rnacentral:rRNA from 1 species
CACGUAGGGGCCAAGCGUUGUCCGGAUUUAUUGGGCGUAAAGAGCUCGUAGGCGGUUCGGUAAGUCAGGUGUGAAACCUCCAGGCUCAACCUGGAGACGCCACCUGAUACUGCUGUGACUCGAGUCCGGUAGGGGAGCGUGGAAUUCCUGGUGUAGCGGUGAAAUGCGCAGAGUAUCAGGAGGAACACCAGCGGCGAAGGCGGCGCUCUGGGCCGGAACUGACGCUGAGGAGCGAAAGCGUGGGUAGCAAACAGG